GAUUCCAUUGUAAUUUAUUAAUUAUUUUACCCGUCAACGGUGAUGUUCUUCUUCCGCAACAAGCACAUCAUGAUUGAUCUUGGGACAAGAAACAACAACAAGAUCAACUGGGCAAUGAAAGACAAGGAAGAGUUUGUUGACAUCGUGGAGACUAGGAGCUCGUAAGGCCGUCGUCUGGUGAUUGCUCCCAGGGAUUACUCCACCAAAUACAGGUACUGA
rnacentral:rRNA from 1 species